rnacentral:rRNA from 1 species
GAUGAACGCUGGCGGCGUGCCUAAUACAUGCAAGUCGAGCGAACGGACGAGAAGCUUGCUUCUCUGAUGUUAGCGGCGGACGGGUGAGUAACACGUGGAUAACCUACCUAUAAGGCUGGGAUAACUUCGGGAAACCGGAGCUAAUACCGGAUAAUAUUUUGAACCGCAUGGUUCAAAAGUGAAAGACGGUCUUGCUGUCACUUAUAGAUGGAUCCGCGCUGCAUUAGCUAGUUGGUAAGGUAACGGCUUACCAAGGCAACGAUGCAUAGCCGACCUGAGAGGGUGAUCGCCCACACAGGAACUGAGCGACGGUCCAGACUCCUACGGGCGGCAGAAGUAGGGACUCUUCCGAAAUGGGCGAAAGCCUGAAGGAGCAACGCCGCGUGAAUGAUGAAGGUCUUCGGAUCGUAAAACUCUGUUAUUAGGGAAGACCAUAUGUGCAAGUAACUGUGCACAUCUUGACGGUACCUAAUAAGAAAGCCACGGCUAACUACGUG